GUAUACUUUCUCGCUCAAAUCGUCACGCAACCGUCUUUUUCGCUCGGCCAGAACGCAAUCCGCGGCAAAAUCGACAAGUGCCUCUCGCACCCUCUUCUCUAUAUACAUGUACCCCACCAUUGAAACCCCCCUCCAUGUCUUCUUCCCCAAACUGCAACAGCUCAAACUCCAUGGAAAACUCCCAUGUGUUGCAUUGUCCUUGCGCACAAGCGCUCUCGGUGCAGAGCCGUGGGACCGUCGCUGCAUCCCUCUUCCCCAAUGUUGUCGAAUACAUUUCCGGUGAGCAACCUUUCUUCUCCGGUGGUAUUUUUCAUUUUUUUUAGUCUGUAGCCGUCGCAGUCCCUCAUCACGCCCUUGCGCGUGCGCAUGCCAAGCUACAGCCACCCAUGGUCAGCCAUGGCUGCCCAGCCACCACGCCCCACUGACCUGGCCACGCGCGUCGCAUUGGCGAGCGCCGCCACACCCGCUGCUCCUAUCAUGCCCAGCCCCACCUCGUCGCUCCUAUCAUGCGCCCCGUUGCGAGCGCCUAUAAAGCUUUGCAUCGCUGCCGUGGCCAUCCUGUUGCGCGCGUGCCGUUUCCCCCAGCAGGGCGUGCGAGCCGCUCCCACCCGGGCGUCCCCCGGUCGAACCUUCCCCAACUGCGCUGCUGCAAGGUCGGUCGUCGGCGAGCCUCACUGCCAUGCGCGGUUACAAGCAGCGCUUGUGCCAUCAACGAAGAAGAAACCGCCGCCUAGGUUCCACGCGCACGCAUGGCACUGGCAUGCAGCAAUGCCUCUAGCCCUCCUGCCCCUCCACGAUCUUCUGCAUGCAACAAACAAAUAGAAACUGGCAUGUGUGCCCCACUUCCUGUUUUCUUUCAUGCACAUAUUCUGCAUGCGACCAAGCCAGGAACGACUCUCCUCCCCACACAAAAUUCCACUCAUUUGGUUUCUCUAUGGCAGUUCUCCAUGUGGCUUCCUGUGUGGCUCCGGGUUCAGCCAAUAGAAUCGUGUCACGUCGCAUUAAAUCUGUGGUUUAGUAAAUACACGUUAACUUUUGCGUUAGGCGUCUAAUUUAUUCUGUUCCAGGUGUAGCUUCGUAACAAUGUCGUGUGCAUUCUAAAAAUAUUAUCGCACCAUGAUGUUUUAAUUAAUUAAUUAUUAAUUUACCCGAUGAUUAUUGAAAUAGCAAUCUAAGUAAAACUUAUUUCUAGUUUUAACUUGCGCUUAUAAAUAAAUGUUAAUAUGAUUAAUACCCAUGUAAAUACUUUGUAUUUAAUACUCCCUUAGUGUAAAUAUGACAUCUAUUUAGUAUUUCUCGCGUAUCACGCAUACUGUUCCGCACAUAGUUGUGUCCUCGUUCGCACACCGUUUUCGCAUGUUGCGCGCAUUGGCAUGUGUCAUUCGCGUGUAUCGCGCGCUGUCCGCACGCGAUAUUAAGUCGUUCGCUUAUAAUCACUCAUGCCAGUUAAUUAACUAUUUAUUUAGUCGUCUACCGUUAAUAUUGUUAGUUAGUCAAAACUAAGUAGUUUUUUAACUUGCAUUUAAUACAUAUCUAUUAACAUGGUUAUAUUGAAUUAAAUAUUAUAACCCAUACCCACUUAGUGUAAACGCGAUAACUUCUCGAGCGUAGCUCCGACUAUCGCGUUUCUUUUUCCUCGCGCGACUGUAGUAACACGCUCUAUUUCGUUGUGUAUAUUUUAUUAUGUUUUAUUUGAAUGGUGUAAUGUUCUUACGCAUAUACAUAUAUUUGUUUGUUUGUUUGUUUGUGUCUGUUGGUAUUCGUUGUGCGUCGCAAAUAGUUUGCGAUCCGUUUCCGAGCUUCGAGGGAUCGAAGAUCAAGAGUUGGCGACCAAGUGAUCUGGCUCUUCGAGUUCCACGAAGCUGAAGACCCUGAGCAUCUAUUUGGUGAAGGCAAGUGUCCUCUGACCCAUUAUGUCCCAUUUACUUUAUAAUCCACUGCCCCGCAUACUAUGAACAACCUAAGGAUUUACUAGCUUUCUAUUUAUCUUGUCCUUGAUUUACCUUUUGGGUUACUAUGGUUAGCUACAUGCUAGCGCUUUACUUUAAUCAAUGAACAUGAUGAGAUACAAUGAUGAUACUAUGAUUUUAUUCUGGAUAUGAUGAUAUACUUGUGGCAUUUAAGGGGACUCGGGUUGUUUCUCGAGUACCUCUCCGUAAGGACCUGUUCGUUGAGAGACCACCCGGGAUAACAGUGCAACCAUGAGGGUGAAAUGGGAUGCCCUUAGCUAAUUAAUUAGAGGAACUAGAGGGUAGUUACUUCGCCGUCGUGCCGUCAAUGGGGUCCAAGCACAGUGCUUGCUCUGCCGAGGCUGAGUGCCGAGGUUCUUUCGUUUUGCUUUUGUUAGUCACCCUCCUGCGGGGAGAGGUACUGUGUUUAUCAAACUGGAGAAACCUAACGGGCGGCUAUGACCUCUAGGGAAUCUUUGUAAAAGCUACGUAGUGAUACCCUGCCGGACCACCUAGGAAGUGAUCAAUGGGGAGUCAUGAUCCCCGGGCAAAACGGGAAUCACGGCUCAUGGGUAAAGUGUGCGACCUCUGCAGAGGGUAAGGAAACUGAUAUAUCAGCCGUGCUCACGGUUAUGAGCGGCCUUGGGAUCCUCUUUGAUUAGAGAUACUUGAUCAGAGAUGAGGAGGAGGAGGAUGGUUAUGAUUAUGCUUAUGGUAUUGGUAAGUGGUAUUCCUUCCGUUUGGAAAGGGUACACUGGGUUAAUAACUUGGGUUAAUGUUAAAACCUGGCUCUCUACUAGUAAUAAUUACCUGACCAACUAAAAGCAACUGCUUGACUCUAAUCCCACAUAAAGCUAGUCCACUUUAGCCAAACGGGACAUUUGCUGAGUACGUUGAUGUGUACUCACCCUUGCUUUCACAAAACACCAGGUUGCCUUUGGUUCAAUCUAUGCUCAGGUAAAGAAGGUGUCGAGGCGGAUCUCCAGGAGUUCUAGGACUUCGACGAGUCCGAGGAUUAGGCUAGCGACCUCCCCCAGUCAGCUGCCUGUGGUGGGUUGUUUACGUUGGCUACGUUUCGAUUCUGUAUACUUUGAUUUAUAUUAUGUAAAUGGCUCUAGUCUGUAAUAUUAUUACUUACUAUUUAUUGUAAUUCGAAGCAUUGUGCUAUGAUGAGUCAUUUAUGUAAUCACUGUGUACGUGAAUAACUGAUCCUGGCACGUACAUGGUUCGCAUUCGG
rnacentral:lncRNA from 1 species